rnacentral:rRNA from 1 species
GACGGGGGGUCCUAGCGUUGUUCGGAAUCAUUGGGCGUAAAGCGUGUGCAGGUGGUUUGGUAAGUUAGGUGUGAAAGCCCCGGGCUUAACCCGGGAAGUGCAUUUAAUACUGCCGAACUUGAAUAUGGAAGAGGGUCGUGGAAUUCCUGGUGUAGUGGUGAAAUACGUAGAUAUCAGGAGGAACACCGGUGGCGAAGGCGGCGACCUGGUCCAAUAUUGACGCUCAUACACGAAAGCGUGGGGAUCAAACAGG